UCUCCGUUGGUGAACCAGCAGAGGGAUCAUUACCGAGUUUACAACUCCCAAACCCAAUGUGAACCAUACCAAACUGUUGCCUCGGCGGGGUCACGCCCCGGGUGCGUCGCAGCCCCGGAACCAGGCGCCCGCCGGAGGGACCAACCAAACUCUUUCUGUAGUCCCCUCGCGGACGUUAUUUUUACAGCUCUGAGCAAAAAUUCAAAAUGAAUCAAAACUUUCAACAACGGAUCUCUUGGUUCUG
rnacentral:misc_RNA from 1 species